GACGAACGCUGGCGGCGUGCUUAACACAUGCAAGUCGAACGAGAUCCAUGUUGUAGCAAUACUUCGGAAGAUCUAGUGGCGAACGGGUGAGGAACACGUGAGGAACCUGCCCCGGACUUCGGGAUAACAGUUGGAAACGAUUGCUAAUACCGAAUACCUCUGCGAAGUGGCAUCACUUUGCAAAGAAAGAAUUUCGGUCCGGGAGGGUCUCGCGGCCUAUCAGCUAGUUGGUGGGGUAACGGCCUACCAAGGCAUCGACGGGUAGCUGGUCUGAGAGGAUGAUCAGCCACACUGGGACUGGGACACGGCCCAGACUCCUACGGGAGGCAGCAGUGGGGAAUCUUGUGCAAUGGGCGAAAGCCUGACACAGCAACGCCGCGUGCGGGAAGAAGGCCUUCGGGUCGUAAACCGCUUUCAGCAGGAACGAAAAUGACGGUACCUGCAGAAGGAGGUGCGGCCAACUACGUGCCAGCAGCCGCAGUAA
rnacentral:rRNA from 1 species